rnacentral:sRNA from 1 species
AGGAAGGCACUUAUGGGAUCAACUGCAAUAGGACGUGUCCAGAGUGCUUUAAGAACCUAUGUGACCCGAGCUCAGGACAUUGUACACUUGGAUGCUUAGGAUACUCCGACCCACCUCAUUGCAGCACAAAAUGCUUUCGAACGUUACAUGGGUUGAAUUGCUUGCAGAAAUGUAGCGCCAACUGUUACCAGUCCAUGUGUCAAUCGACCACCGGGAAAUGUAUGGAGGGAUGUGAGGAUUACAAUGACCCUCCCGAAUGUACGCAUGAAUGUCUAAACAACAGCCAUGGGUACAACUGCUUCUGCCACGAAUAUUGCAGCGAGUGCUCAAACAAGUCUGGUAUAUGUGAUAAAUGUAAACCAGGGUUUUUACCAGAUCAGUCUAAAAAGAGUUGCUUUUACGAUCAACUUUUGGACUUCAAUCACACACUUUUAACGGAGCCAGAAGAUACCCCUUUAAACCAAUUUGUAUACUUCAUCCCUAUCAGCUUUUUUAUCGUCGCCUUUUUUAAUUGCAUGGUCGCAGUGUACUUUCAUCGCCUCAGACAAGCAAGACGUUUAAAUUUAUGGGAGCAUGAGUAAGGCACGCGUCACCGCUAGCUUCAAGAGACGUCAACACGUUCAUACCUAGCUAUGGACAUGAACACUGAGUCCUCGGGGAAAUAAUGGGGGAAAGCAGCAGCUAAAUCUGGACACUUUUGAAGAAGAAGUGGAGCCUGAAAGUUCCAGUCUUGAGGAAGAGAUUCUGCCAGGAUAAUAUCUCCAUUCUAAUUGCGCUAAGAAGCCUUAAGCUCAAGAUUUUACAUUCUCCAUUAUUUUCUUUCUUUCAAUUCUCGGUGGAGCGAAUGCUACCAGUGUUGAUUAUCUGCUGAUCGACACUGUAGAUUUAACUUUCCAGAUAAAGUUUUGAUUGGAGUGUUAGCUAACCAUUGCUUUCUAACUGUAAUCAUAGAGGCUGUGACUGACUGGUGAGACCCACUUGAUUUUAUGAACAACUUUAUUCCAUUUUUCUGAUUUUAGUGUUUGUGUACUAAAUGCAGGUUACAAAAAAAAUAUGAAUACUUGAGUCUCUUAACAUGUUUAUCCUCUGUAUUCAAUGAUCAAAUAAAUAAUGUGUUUUAGUUUGCUUCCUCUUAGUAGAUGAGUUUUGAAAUCCUGUUGGAGAAGAUGUUUCCAAUUUUCUUGCGCUUUAAUGUGAGCCAAAUUCAUUGUAGCCCCCUACCAUUACGGGUGAUGAACUGUCUGAUUGAUAAAACGCUAUAGCCCAUUCAAAAUAUAACUUCAUCAUGAAAUUAUAUAUGGGGCAGUGUGAUUGCAUACUCUUUGACCCACCAGGGAGAGAUAGCACCACGAGCCUCUGAGUUACCAACAUGGAAAAAUGGUUUGAGUGAUGGGACAAGUUUAAACAACAAAAGCCAAGGGGGAGUCUGUGAAAACAGUGUGGAGGCUGACCAGGUCUGAACAGCUAUAAUCACAGUGCAGGACGGGCCUCAGUUCCGUAGGGCAGGGUUCAACGUCGACUCAUGAUGCUCCUGGAGGAAGGUAAAACGUGUCUCAAAUUCUUUUGAACUGAUUUCCAUCUCAACAGGUCCAUAAAGCUUUAAACUCUUCACCUGUAUGGUGACAUAAGUUGAAUAUGCACAGCAGUAGGACUCUGUCCAGUGCUAUUGAAAGAAAUGCUGUUGCUGCUGCUGCUGCUGCUGAUAAUGAUGAUAAUGAUGAUGAUGAUGAUGAUGAUGAUAUGGCAGGUCUGAAGUAGUUUUGUCCUCUGUCAGAUAAGGAGAAUCAUCAUGGGGAAUGUUCAGGGUCACGCCACGAGAAUGCCCACAAGGUCAGGUGUCAUCACACCUUCGGCUAAUCGGGACGGACAUCACAAACUAUCUUCGUAACCUUUUUUUAUUAUUAUUGUAAGUAUUAUAAUAUCUUAAGAGUUAUUUACAUCUUUUAGUAAGUUUUUUUUAUUGUUGCUGCUACAACAUUGUACUUUGACUUUGAAUACUGUUUAUUGCAUUUGUUCUUUUUCUUCUUUGUAAUGCCUCUAGUUCUCUAGUAGUGGAUCAUAAGUUUUCAUUCUUGUUGUACCUGUAAAGUCUGUUUAUGACAUUCAUACAUUUUGUGAACAAUAAAAAAACAA